rnacentral:rRNA from 1 species
UACGGAGGGGGCUAGCGUUGUUCGGAAUUACUGGGCGUAAAGCGCACGUAGGCGGCUUUGUAAGUUAGAGGUGAAAGCCCGGGGCUCAACCCCGGAAUUGCCUUUAAGACUGCAUCGCUUGAACGUCGGAGAGGUGAGUGGAAUUCCGAGUGUAGAGGUGAAAUUCGUAGAUAUUCGGAAGAACACCAGUGGCGAAGGCGGUUCACUGGACGACUGUUGACGCUGAGGUGCGAAAGCGUGGGGAGCAAACAGG